GCGGAGGAAAAGAAAAUAACAAUGAUUCCCCCAGUAACGGCGAGUGAACAGGGAAAAGCUCAAAGUUGGAAUCUCCAAGUCCUAGAUUUGGCGAAUUGUAAACUAAAGUUCUCGAGUAGUUUGGCUAGCCUGGUAAAAAAGUUCUCUGGAAAGGGACGACAAAGAGGGUGAAAUCCCCGUUUUUGGCCGGAGCAUAGUCUUACGUUUGCUUGGAAACGAAGAGUCAGGUUGUUUGGUAUUGCAGCCUAAAGUUGGAGGUAAAUCUCUCCUAAAGCUAAAUAUUGACGAAAGACCGAUAGCGAACAAGUACCGUGAGGGAAAGAUGAAAAGCACCUUGAAAAGGGGGUCAAAAAGUACGUGAAAUUGCUGAAAGGGAACCGUAUAAAAUCAGCUUGUCUCUUUGAUAAUCAGCCUGGACUUUGGUCUGGGUGCACUUGUCAGUGAGUACGGCCUGUGACAAUUUGACUUGAGGGAAAAAAUCAAUGGGAAUGUGGCCUUGACUUCGGUGGAGGUGUUAUAGCCCUUUGAAAAAUACCUUGGGUUGGAUUGAGGACUGCAGUGAGCCCCCUUCUGGGGGGGAUGAACUGUGGGCGCUUGGUCAUCAUUAAAAAAGAAUCUCUGCUUCGGGUGGUGCUUUUUUAAUGGAGGUCAACUCGCCUACUUUUUCUUUUUCUCACUUAGGUUGCAGGCAUAAUGAUUUUAUAUGAC
rnacentral:rRNA from 1 species